rnacentral:rRNA from 1 species
CCUACGGGAGGCAGCAGUGAGGAAUAUUGGUCAAUGGGCGCGAGCCUGAACCAGCCAAGUCGCGUGAGGGAUGACGGCCCUAUGGAUUGUAAACCUCUUUUGUCGGGGAGCAAAAGACGCCACGUGUGGCGUUCUGAGAGUACCCUAAGAAAAAGCAUCGGCUAACUCCGUGCCAGCAGCCGCGGUAAUACGGAGGAUGCGAGCGUUAUCCGGAUUUAUUGGGUUUAAAGGGUGCGCAGGCGGAAGAUCAAGUCAGCGGUAAAAUUGAGAGGCUCAACCUCAUCGAGCCGUUGAAACUGGUUUUCUUGAGUGAGCGAGAGGUAUGCGGAAUGCGUGGUGUAGCGGUGAAAUGCAUAGAUAUCACGCAGAACUCCGAUUGCGAAGGCAGCAUACCGGCGCUCAACUGACGCUCAUGCACGAAAGUGUGGGUAUCGAACAGGAUUAGAUACCCCAGUAGUC